rnacentral:rRNA from 1 species
AUUGAACGCUGGCGGCAGGCCUAACACAUGCAAGUCGAACGAGUGGCGGACGGGUGAGUAAUGUCUGGGAACCUGCCUGAUGGCGGGGGAAAACUACUGGAAACGGUAGCUAAUACCGCAUACCAUCAGCUGAUCCCAGAUGGGAUUAGCCAGUUGGUGGGGUAACGGCUCACCAAGGCCACGAUCCAUAGCUGGUCUGAGAGGAUGACCAGCCACACUGGAACUGAGACACGGUCCAGACUCCUACGGGAGGCAGCAGUGGGGAAUAUUGCGCAAUGGGCGCAAGCCUGAUGCAGCCAUGCCGCGUGUAUGAAGAAGGCCUUCGGGUUGUAAAGUACUUUCAGCGGGGAGGCGUUACCCACAGAAGAAGCACCGGCUAACUCCGUGCCAGCAGCCGCGGUAAUUC